rnacentral:rRNA from 1 species
AGGAUGAACGCUGGCGGCGUGCCUAACACAUGCAAGUCGAACGUCCUGUCUCGCAAGAGGCAGGGAGUGGCGGACGGGUGAGUACCACGUGGGUCAUCUACCGUGAGGUGAGGAAUACCGGCGAGAAAUCGCCGACAAGACCGCAUAGGCUCGAUGCAAGUCGAGCAAAGCUCUUUCGAGAGAGGGAGCGCCACACGAGGAGCCUGCGCCCGAUUAGCUAGCUGGUGGAGUAACGGUUCACCAGGGCGACGAUCGGUAGCUGGUCUGAGAGGACGAUCAGCCGCACUGGGAUUGAGAACGGCCCAGACUCCUACGGGGGCAGCAGUGAGGAAUUUUCGUCAAUGGGGGCAACCCUGAACGAGCAACGCCGCGUGCAGGAAGAAGGUUUUCGGAUCGUAAACUGCUUUUCUCGGGGAAGAGAACGGACGGUACCCGAGGAAUCAGCCCCGGCUAACUACGUGCCAGCAGCCGCGGU